rnacentral:lncRNA from 1 species
UCAAAACACCCCACUCUUUUAUACAGAGCUUCAUGAGGACCAACUCCAUUGGUUCUGAAGCUAAAACAACCACACCACUGGUGCAGAGUGCUUGACGCACAGUGAUAGAACUUAACUAUAAACAAUGUGAAAAACAAGAGAGAUAAAGAAUUAUUUAUGUUCUUCUCCAGAUCUUUCCCAGGCUCCUACCUGGCUAGAAACUCUCAGUUUCUUUCUUUGACUGAAUCUGAGUCACACAGUAUAUUAAUAGAAAAAGCAGGUUUGUAGUUUUAGUAUCUCCUUUAAAUAGUAUAUUAACAGAAAAGGCGGGUUUGCAGUUUUAGUGUCUCCUUUAAACAGUAUAUUAAUGUAUAUUAGUAUAGUUCGAAUAAAGAAACCAUUCAUCCUUCUGAGCUGGAGUCAGGCAUCGUCAUUUCUUCCCCCUGGCUCGCCUGCAUUUACAAUAAGCCGUAAAUUCUUUUUCUCUGGAAGAUUUCCGUGUCCUGCGACUGCCGUCCCGGUG